CAUCACAAUAUACAGAAAUCAAUUCGAACGCACAAAUUGCAAGAUAUAAGCGUGCACAUCGAGGCUCUGAAUGCUAAAGUCACCAACAACCAAAAAUGUUGUGAGCUUUGCACAUCAAACGAGAAAUCAAUUCCUGCAUGCUACUUUUGUGCCGAAUGCGAAAAUGAAGUUCUAUGUGAGACAUGCGGUAAACAUCAUACUUUACAAAAAUCAACCAAAAGACACAAACUACAAGAUAUAAGACAGUACGUGGUAGUUGCGAAUCCUGAUAUCAUCAAAAAUCAAAAGUUGUGUGAGCUUUGCAAGGCAAACGGUAAACCAAUUCCUGCAAGCUACUUUUGCGCCGAUUGUGAUAAUGAAUUUCUGUGUGAGACAUGUGGUAAACAUCACAAUAUACAGAAAUCAACUAAAAAGCACACAUUGAAAGAUAUAAGUCAGUACGUGGAUGUUCCGAAUUCUGAAAUCAUCGCCAAACUAUUGCUUUGCGAGUUUUGCACACAGCAAACGAGAAAUCUAGCCCUGCGUGCUACUUUUGUCCCGAAUGUGAAAAUGAAUUUCUUUGUGAGAGAUGCAGUAAACUUCACAAAAUACAAAAGUCAACUAAAACGCACACAUUGCAAGAUAUAGAUCAUUACGUUGAAGUUCAGAAUUUAAACAUCAACACAAAAUUUUCUUGCGAGCUUUGCACAGCAAACGAGCUAUCGAGCCCUGCAUGUUUCUUUUGCGCUGAAUGCAAAAACGAAUUUCUAUGUGAAAUAUGCGGUAACCAUCACAACAUACAAAAGUCAACUCGAACGCCCAAAUUGCAAGACGUAAGUCAGUACUUCGAAACUGCAAAACAUAAAAUAACGAACAACCAAAAGAUGUGCAUGUCUUGCGCAGCAAAUUAGAAAUCAAGUCCUGCAUGUUUAAUUUGUACAGGAUGUGAUAAUGAAUUUCUUAGUUAGGCAUGUGGAAAACGUCACAACAUACAGAAAUCAACUCGUUCUCAUAAAUUACAAACGACAACCCUUAUGAAAGAACUUUGAUUGAAAGUGACAAACAGUGGCUGUGUGAGCCUUGUAGAUCACGAGAUAAUUCAAACUAUGCGGUUUCUUUUUGUGUAGAAUGUCAUAAUGAAUUACUCUGUCAACAUUGUGGCAAAUAUCACAUUUCAAGGGAGUCGAAUCGAUGACAUACGUUAACAGAUAUAAAGCAAUAUAUGGAAAAUAAGAAAAUUAAGAUAGAUGACCAACGAAAAUUGAUUUGCGAUCCAUGUAAAGAACAAAAUAAGUACAUCUUCGCGGCUUGGUUGUGUGCAGAAUGUGAAAAUGAAAUGCUUUGCGAGGAAUGUGCGAUAUAUCACAAAGCAAACAAGUUAUUCCUAGAUCACGCAUUGAAAAAUAUUAACAGCUUUGAGGAAGCUGAUUACACCGGAAAACACGUGGAGUUUUGUGGACCAUGUUCAGUACUAAAGAAAGCAUACCCUGCCGUUUAUUUGUGUGCAGCAUGUAAACACGAAAAGCUUUGUGACAGCUGCGCAAAAUAUCACACAUUACAGAAGUCGUUUUGAAAGCAUGUGUUGCAAAUAAUAGACGGCCAUCAAGAUGCCGCUGCUCGUUCAGCGGAUUCCAUCGAUUCGGAAAGUACCCCUGGUCAGCCAACAGCAAUCAACGUAGGUUCCGAUAACAUUACCCUGACUUGGGAAAAGCCUUCUUUGUUCACGACUGGAGCUUAUUUCCAGAUAGUUUGCAGAGAAUAUAAGGAGACUAAGUGGAAGAUUUGCUAUGACAAUGUUGAAACAAACAUUGUUGAAUUGCACAACGUAAAAUCUGACGUACAAUUUGUCUUUCGCAUUCGAGCUGUAUAUAAUGACUAUGAAAGUAAUUAUAGCAAAGAAAGUGAAAUAGUGACAACAAAAAAAUCUCCUGCAUCUCAUAUUGUUAAAUUUUCUACUAUUCGUAGCGUUGCGAAUACGAUUCCCGUCCAUUAUGCACUACCUAUGAACGAAGUCAAAACAGCGCAAAAUAGGGAAAACAAGGAAAUUUGAUAUUGGGUCUCCGAGAAAAUUGAAUUGGAAGGAGAGGACAGUUUUACUAAUCGGUGAAACAGGAACCGGAAAAAGUACACUUGUUGAUUGUAUGGCAAACUACAUACUUGGUGUGAAUUGGAAUGAUGAAUUUAGGUUUGCAAUUAUAAGUCUUGAAGAUGAAGAAAGACAGAAGGAGGCUAAUCAGGUAGAUAUCAAUUUAUAAAUAGCAUAUUAUUAUCAUAUAAAAGUUCUUGAAAACGUAAAUUCUGGUUGGAAUUGGUAAUACAUGUUAGUGAUAUUUGUAUUUAAUUCGACGGUUUAAAUCAAAAGGGUUCUAACUUACUCUUCUUUUUUUUCAGAAAAUGACUUUUUAUGUGUAUAUUGUAUCGAGACAUCAAUGCCUAUCUUGCAAUAACAUAUAUUAUUUCCAGUCCUUUUUAAAAGUAAAAUGACAACUUGUCCAAACGAUUUUGAGUGAAAUUUACUUUUUUAAUCCGAAAAUGUGAAAUGUGCAGUGCAGUGCCACUUGUAACUUUCGCAUUUAGGUUUUGAUAUUAAGAAACCCUUUUAGUGACAAUUAUUAUCUCUUUUUAUUUCGAUUGUUUUUCUUAAAUUGGGUUUAUUUAUUUUAGUACAUUUUUGGUCUCUUAUUGACAUUAUUUCUUUUCGGUUUAAGUCUAUUUCAACAUAAACAUGGCCAAAAACCUUGUUGCAUUUUGAAAGUUGACAGAGAUGUUUUCCUCA